CAACUAUGCAAGUCUGCAGAUUCAGAGGUGCCAGGGUUAGCAUUCUUCCAGUGUGAUUCACAGGCCUGUUGCCAACUCUGCUUUGAUUUUAGAAUAAAGCUAAGCCACACACAGACUGAAACCAUGAGCCAAAAGCCCUCUUGUUCUGUACGUUGCAGGUCCCGGAUUAAGUGCCUAGGACUGGUGUCAGUGCCAGGUGUGCCAGAUGAGACACAGGAAGAGGGUCUGGGAAGCCAGGCAGUGUCUCCAAGGGCCGUGUGUGAAGCUGUGAGGGCGAAGCCAGAAGUGCAGUGGAGACCCCAGGAAGCCGAAGCCAGGGACAUGAAGAACCUGGGGCAGCCACAAGGCGUGAGCAAAGCCAGCCCAAGAGAGAAGCCAUGAGAGUGGCCACCUGGGCAGUGCUGGAGGCUGGAGCCCACAUCUUCCCCAGCCUGCCCUGGGUGCGGACCCAGAGCUGCGGGAUUCUGGUCUUGCUUUGCCUCCAUUCCUUUCCAUUCCCCUAGUUCUCCCUUUUUGAAGGGAAAGAUCUAUCCUGUGCCAUUCAUUGUAUGUUGGAAGUGUCUAACUUUCUUUUUAAUUUUUUCAGGGCCUCACAGCUAAGAACUUGCCUUAAAUCUCUGUGAGGGGGAGACUUUGGGUUUAGCUUUUGAGAAAUGCUGAAAUCAUAAGGACUUUGGAAAUCCCACAGAUGGCUAACUAAUGCAUUUUGCAUA